UACAGAGGGUGCGAGCGUUGUCCGGAAUCACUGGGCGUAAAGGGCGCGUAGGUGGCCCCGCCAGUCCGUGGUGAAAGCUCGAUGCUCAACAUCGAGUCGGCCACGGAUACUGCGGGGCUGGAGCACUGUAGAGGCAGAUGGAAUUCCGGGUGUAGCGGUGGAAUGCGUAGAGAUCCGGAAGAACACCGGUGGCGAAGGCGGUCUGCUGGGCAGUUGCUGACACUGAUGCGCGACAGCGUGGGGAGCAAACAGG
rnacentral:rRNA from 1 species